rnacentral:lncRNA from 1 species
ACAAAAACCACGCGCCCGCCGGGCCGCGCUCAGGCCUUCGCCCUCAGGGACUUCGGAACCGCCCCGUCCUCAAGAUCGAAAAGCCCAGAGCCCCGCGGCGGCUCCAAGCACGGUGUUGGGGGUGGGGGUCUCAGGGAGCGCCCAGGCCCAAGGCCGCCCUGGUCCGGCGUGGACCCCGCGGGGCUCAAGGCAGGUUCCCCGCGUGACCCGCCCAGCCCCUCUAUGCGAACUCGAACGACAGGCACCACAGCCCGCCACGUGCGCGAGACUCGCGCUGUGCCCCAACCCAGGUGGGCGGCCCGCGGAGCCGCGAGGCCUGAGCCCGCCCUGCAGGUGACCCGCGGCCCUUCCUCCUCCAGGUGAACGGCGGCCCAGUCCCUGCAGGUGACCCGCGGACCCUCCCCGCCCGUCCUACUACCGUCAUAGGACCGCCUCCGCAGGCGCACUGGAGCCGAUUGCGCAGGCGUGGCUCUCACACGCGCUGCCCUGUUGGCGUUGGUGCGGGACUGCGCAGGCGCGCGGGGCAAGAGGGUGGCAGUGCGCCUGCGCCGCGUCGGCG